UGGAGCACAGAACAUACUCAAUAGAGAAAU
rnacentral:piRNA from 1 species